rnacentral:lncRNA from 1 species
ACAGGGCAUGGGGACAUCAUAUCAGCCAUCUCCAUGGUGGUGGCCAUGGCGGUGUACACCAGCGAGCGGUGGGACCAGCCUCCACACCCCCAGAUCCAGACCUUCUUCUCCUGGUCCUUCUACCUGGGCUGGGUCUCAGCUAUCCUCUUGCUCUGUACAGGUGCCCUGAGCCUGGGUGCUCACUGUGGCGGUCCCCGUCCUGGCUAUGAAACCUUGUGAGCAGAAGGCAAGAGCGGCAAGAUGAGUUUUGAGCGUUGUAUUCCAAAGGCCUCAUCUGGAGCCUCGGGAAAGUCUGGUCCCACAUCUGCCCGCCCUUCCAGCCCUUCCCCAGCCCCUCCUCUUGUUUCUUCAUUCAUUCAACAAAAUUUGGCUGGAA